GGAAGCCCCGGCUAACUACGUGCCAGCAGCCGCGGUAAUACGUAGGGGGCUAGCGUUAUCCGGAUUUACUGGGCGUAAAGGGUGCGUAGGCGGUCUUUCAAGUCAGGCGUGAAAGGCUACGGCUCAACCGUAGUAAGCUCUUGAAACUGGGAGACUUGAGUGCAGGAGAGGAGAGUGGAAUUCCUAGUGUAGCGGUGAAAUGCGUAGAUAUUAGGAGGAACACCAGUUGCGAAGGCGGCUCUCUGGACUGU
rnacentral:rRNA from 1 species